GCCAUGGUGGUCUAGCGGUUAGAACGCUGGCCUUGUAAUCCUGGGGUCUCGGGUUCGAUUCCCGGCGGUGCCC
rfam:Zootermopsis nevadensis contig13984, whole genome shotgun sequence.